rnacentral:rRNA from 1 species
AGAGUUUGAUCCUGGCUCAGGAUGAACGCUGGCGGCGUGCCUAAUACAUGCAAGUCGAGCGAAUGGAUUAAGAGCUUGCUCUUAUGAAGUUAGCGGCGGACGGGUGAGUAACACGUCGGUAACCUGCCGAUAAGACUGGGAUAACUCCGGGAAACCGGGGCUAAUACCGGAUAAUAUUUUGAACUGCAUGGUUCGAAAUUGAAAGGCGGCUUCGGCUGUCACUUAUGGAUGGACCCGCGUCGCAUUAGCUAGUUGGUGAGGUAACGGCUCACCAAGGCAACGACGCGUAGCCGACCUGAGAGGGUGAUCGGCCACACUCGGACUGAGACACGGCCCAGACUCCUACGGGAGGCAGCAGUAGGGAAUCUUCCGCAAUGGACGAAAGUCUGACGCAGCAACGCCGCGUGAGUGAUGAACGCUUUCGGGUCGUAAAACUCUGUUGUUAGGGAAGAACAAGUGCUAGUUGAAUAAGCUGGCACCUUGACCGUACCUAACCAGAAAGCCACGGCUAACUACGUGCCAGCGGCCGCGGUAAUACGUAGGUGGCAAGCGUUAUCCGGAAUUAUUGGGCGUAAAGCGCGCGCAGGUGGUUUCUUAAGUCUGAUGUGAAAGCCCACAGCUCAACCGUGGAGGGUCAUUGGAAACUGGGAGACUUGAGUGCAGAAGAGGAAAGUGGAAUUCCAUGUGUAGCGGUGAAAUGCGUAGAGAUAUGGAGGAACACCAGUCGCGAAGGCGACUUUCUGGUCUGUAACUGACACUGAGGCGCGAAAGCGUGGGGAGCAAACAGGAUUAGAUACCCUGGUAGUCCACGCCGUAAACGAUGAGUGCUAAGUGUUAGAGGGUUUCCGCCCUUUAGUGCUGAAGUUAACGCAUUAAGCACUCCGCCUGGGGAGUACGGCCGCAAGGCUGAAACUCCAAGGAAUUGACGGGGGCCCGCACAAGCGGUGGAGCAUGUGGUUUAAUUCGAAGCAACGCGAAGAACCUUACCAGGUCUUGACAUCCUCUGCAAACCCUAGAGAUAGGGCUUCUACUUCGGGAGCAGAGUGACAGGUGGUGCAUGGUUGUCGUCAGCUCGUGUCGUGAGAUGUUGGGUUAAGUCCCGCAACGAGCGCAACCCUUGAUCGUAGUUGCCAUCAUUCAGUUGGGCACUCUAAGGUGACUGCCGGUGACAAACCGGAGGAAGGUGGGGAUGACGUCAAAUCAUCAUGCCCCUUAUGACCUGCGCUACACACGUGCUACAAUGGACGGUACGAAGAGCUGCAAGACCGCGAGGUGGAGCUGAUCUCAUCAAACCGUUCUCAGUUCGGAUUGUAGGCUGCGACUCGACUACAUGAAGCUGGAAUCGCUAGUAAUCGCGGAUCAGCAUGCCGCGGUGAAUACGUUGCCGGGCCUUGUACACACCGCCCGUCACACCACGAGAGUUUGUAACACCCGAAGUCGGUGGGGUCACCUUUUUGGAGCCAGCCGCCUAAGGUGGGACAGAUGAUUGGGGUGAAGUCGUAACAAGGUAACCAA